UGGAUUGAGUCAAUAAAAUUAAUUAGACAAUAGACUUACGAAUUGGACUAAAUUGAUAUCCAGAACUUUUCAUAAUUGAUUUUGAAAUAGGAUGACCCAAAUCCUAUAGGAAGAAAAAAAAAUCUAUUGUGGCUAAUCCAGUGUGUAAACUUAUUGUCCAAUUGAUUUUAUUAACCUAAUCCAUGAAUCCCAUUUAAUUUUCAGCUAAUUCAUCCAAAU
rnacentral:lncRNA from 1 species